rnacentral:misc_RNA from 1 species
AACUGAUACUACCUGCGGGAACCUGCGGAGGGAUCAUUACCGAGUUUACAACUCCCAAACCCCAUGUGAACAUACCUGUUUCGUUCCCUCGGCGGUGUCCGGCAACGGCCCGCCAGAGGACCCAACAAACUCUUUUGAAUUUUUCAGUAUCUUCUGAGUGAAAAAAACAAUAAAUCAAAACUUUCAGCAAUGGAUCUCU